CGGAGGAAAAGAAACCAACAGGGAUUGCUCUAGUAACGGCGAGUGAAGCAGCAAUAGCUCAAAUUUGAAAUCUGGCGUCUUCGACGUCCGAGUUGUAAUUUGUAGAGGAUGCUUCUGAGUAACCACCGACCUAAGUUCCUUGGAACAGGACGUCAUAGAGGGUGAGAAUCCCGUAUGCGGUCGGAAAGGUGCUCUAUACGUAGCUCCUUCGACGAGUCGAGUUGUUUGGGAAUGCAGCUCUAAAUGGGAGGUAAAUUUCUUCUAAAGCUAAAUAUUGGCCAGAGACCGAUAGCGCACAAGUAGAGUGAUCGAAAGAUGAAAAGCACUUUGGAAAGAGAGUUAAAAAGCACGUGAAAUUGUUAAAAGGGAAGGGAUUGCAACCAGACUUGCUCGCGGUGUUCCGCCGGUCUUCUGACCGGUCUACUCGCCGCGUUGCAGGCCAGCAUCGUCUGGUGCCGCUGGAUAAGACUUGAGGAAUGUAGCUCCCUCGGGAGUGUUAUAGCCUCUUGUGAUGCAGCGAGCGCCGGGCGAGGUCCGCGCUUCGGCUAGGAUGCUGGCGUAAUGGUCGUAAUCCGCCCGUCUUGAAACACGGACCAAGGAGUCUAACAUCUAUGCGAGUGUUCGGGUGUCAAACCCCUACGCGUAAUGAAAGUGAACGGAGGUGAGAACCGCAAGGUGCAUCAUCGACCGAUCCUGAUGUCUUCGGAUGGAUUUGAGUAAGAGCAUAGCUGUUGGGACCCGAAAGAUGGUGAACUAUGCCUGAAUAGGGUGAAGCCAGAGGAAACUCUGGUGGAGGCUCGCAGCGGUUCUGACGUGCAAAUCGAUCGUCAAAUUUGGGUAUAGGG
rnacentral:rRNA from 1 species